CAUCACACUAUCAAGCCAACACAUUGACAGUAUAAACACAUAUGCUUGAAUUAUCAAGUGAGUGGCAUGUAUAGGGACCUAGUUUUAUAACAUGUGUUAUUAUAAUUUGGCCAAAUAUAUUGAUCUUUAGUGAGCUAAUGAUUCUGACUUAUAAAUCUAGCUAUUUAUGUUAUGUUUGAUAUUGGUGAUGUGUAUAUGCUUGUUUGCCAUGCAUGGUUGGUAAUAUGUUAUGUGUUGUUGUGAAUGUUUAAGUCCGUUAAUGC
rnacentral:lncRNA from 1 species